rnacentral:rRNA from 1 species
GACGAACGCUGGCGGCGUGCUUAACACAUGCAAGUCGAACGGAAAGGCCCUGCUUUUGUGGGGUGCUCGAGUGGCGAACGGGUGAGUAACACGUGAGUAACCUGCCCUUGACUUUGGGAUAACUUCAGGAAACUGGGGCUAAUACCGGAUAGGAGCUCCUGCUGCAUGGUGGGGGUUGGAAAGUUUCGGCGGUUGGGGAUGGACUCGCGGCUUAUCAGCUUGUUGGUGGGGUAGUGGCUUACCAAGGCCUUGACGGGUAGCCGGCCUGAGGGGGUGACCGGCCACAUUGGUACUGAGAUACGGCCCAGACUCCUACGGGAGGCAGCAGUGGGGAAUAUUGCACAAUGGGCGGAAGCCUGAUGCAGCAACGCCGCGUGCGGGAUGACGGCCUUCGGGUUGUAAACCGCUUUCGCCUGUGACGAAGCGUGAGUGACGGUAAUGGGUAAAGAAGCACCGGCUAACUACGUG